rnacentral:rRNA from 1 species
ACUACCUACGGGGCGCAGCAGUGAGGAAUAUUGGUCAAUGGGCGCGAGCCUGAACCAGCCAAGUCGCGUGAGGGAAGACGGUCCUAUGGAUUGUAAACCUCUUUUGUCGGGGAGCAAAAGACGCCACGCGUGGCGUUCCGAGAGUACCCGAAGAAAAAGCAUCGGCUAACUCCGUGCCAGCAGCCGCGGUAAUACGGAGGAUGCGAGCGUUAUGCGGAUUUAGUGGGUUUAAAGGGUGCGCAGGCGGAAGAUCAAGUCAGCGGUAAAAUUGAGAGGCUAAACCUCUUCGAGCCGUUGAAACUGGG